rnacentral:rRNA from 1 species
AUUGAACGCUGGCGGCAUGCCUUACACAUGCAGGUCGAACGGCAGCACGGGAGCAAUCCUGGUGGCGAGUGGCGAACGGGUGAGUAAAGUAUCGGAACGUGCCCAGUCGUGGGGGAUAACGUAGCGAAAGUUACGCUAAUACCGCAUACGAUCUAUGGAUGAAAGCGGGGGAUCGCAAGACCUCGCGCGAUUGGAGCGGCCGAUAUCAGAUUAGGUAGUUGGUGGGGUAAAGGCUCACCAAGCCGACGAUCUGUAGCUGGUCUGAGAGGACGACGAGCCACACUGGGACUGAGACACGGCCCAGACUCCUACGGGAGGCAGCAGUGGGGAAUUUUGGACAAUGGGCGAAAGCCUGAUCCAGCCAUGCCGCGUGCAGGAUGAAGGCCUUCGGGUUGUAAACUGCUUUUGUACGGAACGAAAAGGUUUGGGCUAAUAAGCUGAGCUCAUGACGGUACUGUAAGAAUAAGCACCGGCUAACUACGUGCCAGCAGCCGCCGUAA